rnacentral:rRNA from 1 species
GACGUAGGCACCAAGCGUUGUCCGGAUUUAUUGGGCGUAAAGAGCUCGUAGGCGGUUCAGUAAGUCGGGUGUGAAAACUUUGGGCUUAACCCAAAGCGUGCAUCCGAUACUGCUGUGACUUGAGUUCGGUAGGGGAGCAGGGAAUUCCUAGUGUAGCGGUGAAAUGCGCAGAUAUUAGGAGGAACACCGGUGGCGAAGGCGCUGCUCUGGGCCGAAACUGACGCUGAGGAGCGAAAGCGUGGGUAGCAAACAGG